rnacentral:rRNA from 1 species
GAGGGAGCUUGCUCCCUGAUUUAGCGGCGGACGGGUGAGUAAUGCCUAGGAAUCUGCCUGGUAGUGGGGGAUAACGUUCCGAAAGGAACGCUAAUACCGCAUACGUCCUACGGGAGAAAGCAGGGGACCUUCGGGCCUUGCGCUAUCAGAUGAGCCUAGGUCGGAUUAGCUAGUUGGUGAGGUAAUGGCUCACCAAGGCGACGAUCCGUAACUGGUCUGAGAGGAUGAUCAGUCACACUGGAACUGAGACACGGUCCAGACUCCUACGGGAGGCAGCAGUGGGGAAUAUUGGACAAUGGGCGAAAGCCUGAUCCAGCCAUGCCGCGUGUGUGAAGAAGGUCUUCGGAUUGUAAAGCACUUUAAGUUGGGAGGAAGGGCAGUAAGCUAAUACCUUGCUGUUUUGACGUUACCGACAGAAUAAGCACCGGCUAACUUCGUGCCAGCAGCCGCGGUAAUACGAAGGGUGCAAGCGUUAAUCGGAAUUACUGGGCGUAAAGCGCGCGUAGGUGGUUCGUUAAGUUGGAUGUGAAAGCCCCGGGCUCAACCUGGGAACUGCAUCCAAAACUGGCGAGCUAGAGUACGGUAGAGGGUGGUGGAAUUUCCUGUGUAGCGGGUGAAAUGC